rnacentral:rRNA from 1 species
GACGAACGCUGGCGGCGUGCCUAACACAUGCAAGUCGAACGGGGUGAGACCCUUCGGGGUUUUACUUAGUGGCGAACGGGUGAGUAACGCGUGAGGAACCUGCCUUUCAGUGGGGGACAACAGUUGGAAACGACUGCUAAUACCGCAUAAUGUUUUCGGAUCGCAUGAUCUGAAAACCAAAGAUUUAUUGCUGAGAGAUGGUCUCGCGUCUGAUUAGCUAGUUGGUGGGGUAACGGCCCACCAAGGCGACGAUCAGUAGCCGGCUUGAGAGAGUGAGCGGCCACAUUGGAACUGAGACACGGUCCAAACUCCUACGGGAGGCAGCAGUGGGGAAUAUUGGGCAAUGGGGGAAACCCUGACCCAGCAACGCCGCGUGAAGGAAGAAGGCCUCGGUUGUAAACGUUACUUUAGUCAGGACGAAGGACGUGACGGUACCUGCAGAAAAAGACAACGGACUAACUACGUG